AGGACGAACGCUGGCGGCGUGCUUAACACAUGCAAGUCGAGCGGUAAGGCCUCCUUCGGGGGGUACACGAGCGGCGAACGGGUGAGUAACACGUGGGUGACCUGCCCUCAGCUCUGGGAUAAGCCUGGGAAACCGGGUCUAAUACCGGAUGGGACUGCUUGCCGCAUGGUGGGUGGUGGAAAGUUUUUUCUGCUGGGGAUGGGCCCGCGGCCUAUCAGCUUGUUGGUGGGUGAUGGCCUACCAAGGCGGUGACGGGUA
rnacentral:rRNA from 1 species